GAUUGGAUAGCUCAGUCAGUAGAGCAUGAGACUCUUGAACUCAGGGUUGUGGGUUCGAGCCCCACGCUGGGCA